GGCGAAGCAAGCUGCAGGGUCUGGAGGGGAGAGAGAAUUUGUGCUGCUGCCCUCUGGGACGCUCUUGAUCUCUCCUACCCUGGACUCCAGCUACCCUUCUGAAGAGGACUUGGAGGAAAUUGACGCUUCCCUGAGGAAAAGUAUCCAAACAAAGGUUCCAGUUGAUCUUCUCAUCCAUAAAUGUCUAAGGAGUAACUCUAUGAACAGAUUAUCCCUGGCAAAUUGAAGUAUAGAAUUGAGGCCGAUGGGGUUCAGGACGUGCUACCUGAAAAUAUGGCACGUUGACAUUUGAGAAAACCUUGGAAACAGGAAGGUCUCUCUUACCUUCUCCUCUCUCUUCUCCCCUGAAGAAGGUCAUUAAACCCUCGCUGGAGAGAUGCCCUGUACAUACCCAGAGAAAGCAAACAUUCUUAUACCUGAAGACACAGACACAGAUAAGAAUCUGAAUAACAGGCCUUCCUAAAUUCCCUGCAGCUUAUUGCCAUUAAAUCAGACCUCCAUUAUCCAAUCAUACUUCUCACUGACUGAUCACCUUUUCAUCAAACCUAAGAUUAAAAAACACAAGUUUACCUGUUUCUUUGGGUCUUCAUUUCUUUAUGAAAGUUCCCUUGUCACAAAAAACUUGCAUUAAAUAAACUCGUAUGCUUUUGUUUUCUUGUUAGUCUGUCUUUUGUUAUAGGUGCCACAGCCAAGAACCUUGCAACAGGUAAAGAAAGCAGUUUUUUCCUCCCCUACAAGGUGUAUAUCCUUGCAACAUAGACACUUGCUUUUGAAUGGAUUGUUUGCUGCUACAGACUACCUUUAAU
rnacentral:lncRNA from 1 species